ensembl:lncRNA
UCUUUGAAGUUAUAUAUUUGCGACUUUUAUCUAAUUACUAACUUCAUCCCGUAACUGAAUGGUGCUUUUCCACAGGGAAAAAAGAGGGAAGGGAGUAAACAAACAGUCACUCCGUGAUCUGCAACGAGAUUUUUAAUUGCACGAGUCCACUAACAGAUGUCGACCAGGAGGGAACACGCUAUUUGUACCAGUUCCAGAAAACUUUGCAGUACAUGAAUAAGCUUUUCAGAAGAAUAACACACACAGUUGCUCAGACUCUUCUGAGUUUUCUCCAAUGAGUCUACAGGAUCUAUGUCUGAGCCCCUGUGGAAGGCUGGGGCUGCGACUGUCCCUCCACCCCCUCCCGAGCCUGCCUCUCCCUCCAGGAAGCCCUGAACUCACGCCACCUCCCUGGAGAACCGUGCACACGGGAACCAGGAGAAACAGGUGAUGGCGAAAUAAAAACAAGAGCUGAGCUCCCUCUUACAGGAUCCAACGCCAGGAGCAGCCGCUAAGGCUCUCACUGGGCCCGCAUCCCUAGACACACCUGCAUGAACGGGUCGACACUCAGGGGUGGGGGAUCCUUCACAGAAGCCCCUCCCCCCUCAGGGCUUGAACUUUCAGGAACCUGCAAUGACCCCCAGAGGCUGAAAGACACCUGCACCUACCACCCCACUGCUGCUGGGCACCCUGACUCCAGGUGAGGUGGAGGGGCCAGCCCAGCCCUUAGCGUCCUGCCCUCGGCCUUAACUGAGGGGUAACUGACACUUGAUAAAAAAGUUCACGCGAUUCCGAUCUCAGUUCUCCUCACACCUGCCAACCAUGAACACGUGUUCCUUUCGUUCCUCCUGGGAACAUGGAAAACAGAGCCAACAACUUCUCUCCUUCCACUCAGACACCCUGGUACCAAGAGAUACAUACUUAACUCCCAGUGGGCAGGAAGGGCCCAGGCGCCCACUGGCCAGCGGCACCCAUAAACCCUGCCCUACUGAGACGGUCGGUCUGAAGGUGGGAGCUGGGGCAGACAGUCAGCUUCCCAGGUGACUCCAACAAACAGCUGGCUUCCUGCAGGAAGGAACGAACAGGUGGUAAAACAGAGCCUGGCUGUCAGGGUGCAGGCUGAGUGCUCGCCACACCUGUGCAAGUUUCAAGGGCAGUGACAGGCACAAGCUGAACCGGCUUCCUGCAGGGACGUGCAAGGGCGACUGGCCCGGGCCCCCAGACGCCAAGUGGCUGGGACCCGGGGGGGAGGGGGGCGCUGGUGAGGGUGCCUGGGCUGAGGCACGGGGUCAGUGCCAUCGUGCUCCCCCGGACCACCCUGACAGGCAUCUCCCCCUGAGAAGCACUGCACGCCCUACAAUGGAAGCAGCCGGGGGCUCCCCUACCAGCCUUGCAGGCAAGGGUCCCAAAGGAAAAACAGGUGGGCGGGGGCCCAGGCUGCCUCGGUCGCCGUCUUUGUGGGAAGAUUGAAGGAAGUCGCGUGUUUGAAUAAAAACUAAUUUGUUUGUAAUGACCAUCUACUAUUUGGGUUUAUGGUGCCAACAAUUUCAUUAUGAUUUUAGAAGACGUUAUACCAUAAAACAUAAUUUUCAUUCUACUGAAAUACAUAAAUUCUUUGUUUAAAAUACAUCUGGACAUGUGUAAAGGGGGGAAAUGCCCCCCACCAAGACCCUCCCCAAAGGCCCCCAGGAACCACCUGCGGCCCCCUUCUACACACACUGGGACCCUCUAAUCUGCGAAGAGGGGAGUUCCUAUCAUGGCUCAGUGGUUAACGAAUCCGACUAGGAUCCGUGAGGAUGCAGGUUCGAUCCCUGGCCUUGCUCAGUGGGUUAAGGAUCCUGCAUUGCCGUGAGCUGUGGUGUAGGUCGCAGACACGGCUCGGAUCCCGCAUUGCUGUGGCUCCGGCGUAGGCCAGUGGCUACAGCUCCAAUUAGACUCCUAGCCUAGGAACCUCCAUGUGCCGCCGGUAGGGCCCUAGAAAAGGCAAAAAGACAAAAAGACAAAAAAAAAGAAGAAGAAAUGAGCUAUUUCGUGGCAUGAGGCAGGUAACUGACACCUGCACUGGGACCCAGUCUUACUCAUUUACUCCAUUUUUACUGCGCAUCGAGCUCACCGCAUUUAGAAAGAAAUUAGGCUCUGGCCAGGUGUCCUCACAAAGGUGUGGCCGCCAGACCGUGACAGGGGCAGGGCUGCAGGGGAGACCCCAGGAAGGGCUGGGGGGGGCGGGAGGCAGAGCCCGUGCCCAGGGGAGGCCACAGCCCUUCCCUCCACACACCGCUGCCCAGAGCUAAGCCUAACUCCCCAGCCCUGAACCGCAGGCCCGCGAGGCGCCACAGACCCCCUGCCCGAUGACACAGAAUCAACCACGAAGAAGCAAAAAGACACUCUCGUUCUGACCCAGAAAGAGUGAAACGUAAUACGUAAAUCAUGGCCAUUCCACUAAAAGACAGACAAACAAGAGAUUUUCUCUGAUCUUGGAAAACUGCAAGUCUGUCUUUCCAGCCCCAAGAGUGGAAGGUUCAGGACUUCUGCACAGAAACAGGUCACCUGCCACCGGUGCCUCCUCCACCAAGCCCCUUCCGGCCGCUCCCACCGCAGAGGGACCCCAGUCACCACUCAGGGAGAACACAGAAACUGCCCUGGAAGCCCAACGCGGCCCGGCGCCAGGGCAGGGCGGGGGGUCCUUAGAAAAGGAAAGGGAGCCGGAGCCGGAGGCGAGAGCAGGUGCCACAAGGUGCUGGGCAGGGCCUGUCAGCGCUCAGGGCAGGGGCCCUGCACGUCCACUCGCUCCAGCCCCGUGCAGCCGGAGGCAAGUCCACUGGCACCUGGUUCUGCCACCUUCCAAGUCCCCACCCACUUCCGCAGAUCUGCUUCGAGCAGGAAGGUCCAAGGAUACGUCAAAUUCAGAGGCCAACUUUCUAGUCUAAAUCAGUGCCACCCACUGGACAGGAUGCUCUCAGAGACAACAGUCACUCACACGGGCCUCUGGACACCAAGUCCGAGUCCCAGCCCCUCUGCCACAGCCAGAGCCAGCCGGGCUAGGAGCGGGAGGAAGACGCCCUCCCCGGACACGGGAGCCCCGGACACAGUGAGGGAGGUGCUGCCCCCCAGCCGCCCGGCCCCCGGCUGCUCCUCCCUCCGCACUCACAGCCCCCGCGGAGGCAGGUCCUCCUGACACUAAUCUGUUGGUACCAACACCCCCCGCCGCCGGGCUUGCAGCCUAUGCGCUCUGGACGAUGUAAAUGUUGUCAUCACCCCGGGUGUCUAACGAAGACCCUGACUCAAUAAGCUGCAAAUGAAGCAAACGCUUGAGGAAGCACACAAUUCAAAAGCUCUCACACAGCAAAAAACAAUCUCUACCUCGCUUUGGAAUCAGAUGUGUUUUCACCAGUCAGAUGCACACACGUGUUUGCACAUAUACACACACUCUUCCACCUAAGUACACACCAGCAAGCCAGCAACGGCGGUGGGGGGGAAGGGGGGCGCGGCACGUUCGGCCUCUCAAAUUCCACUCUAUGUGCUGUUAAAUAGUAAACAAGCAAGUACUACAGCAAACCUCGUCCAUCUAAAUCCACAGAGAGCUUUUUAUGGUAAAGUAAUUUAUCUCCUUAAAAUAAGCCAAUAUCUCCUUUAGGAACUGUGGAAAUUCUAAUUACAACACAGAAAACAACGUAAGCACAGCUUCCAAGGUGUGACAACAGCCAGAUGCUUUUCUCAAAAAGGUCACCCAACAGCCAAGCCGAACACACGCUGCUUUUCAGCUGCUGUUCAGACGAAAGUGUCUUCACUGCCCACUUGUAAGUGGCGACAACGCUGUGACCACCUUCGCGUCUCAGGCCCACUUCACCAGGAGCUGCUUCCAAACAAAGGCCGGACCCUCAGGGUCAGCACGAGAGCAAGGACACCCCACGCUCAAGCGACAGGGAACGUGGUUAUGUGGCGACAUGUGCUCUCUUAUUUAUAGAGCCCUUUUAAUCACUUUACAUGUAACCAGUGCUGAAACAGGCUUGCAGAGUCUGAGGACACAUGGCUGGGUGGAGUAGGCGGUAGGGCAGAGAAAGGUCAGCCAAACCCCACAAAAAACAAUUAAGACUUUCCACAGUCCACAAAACAGGUGAUGUUGAGGCAAUGGAAAGGUCGCUUGGAGGGGUAGAGGCAUCUUAUUAAAAAGUCCUUUCGACAGGUCAUCAAAGAUGCACAGCAGUCAGGACCCCUACGCACACACCACGUUUCGAGGGCCCAUGGGUCAGAGAGACAACACAACAGAGGAAAGGGCGGAGGGAGAGGCAGGACAGAGCACGGCCGAGAGGCCGACGAGGAGGGAGGGACUCGGAACUGAGAGCAGGGGAAAGACAGGAAUUCAAUACGGAGCACACGGCUGGCAUCACGGAGAAAGCGGGGGGCAGUCGAAGGUCCAGAUGACAACGAUGACAAGGCGAACACUUCAGCUGAGCCUACAGCCGAGCCUCUGGCUGGCUCCAUAGGAUGAAGACAUCAAAAAAUAGUUAAUUCACAAAGCAGUGAAGUGAUUCAGCCACAGGUAACCAAAUUAAAAUAAUCCACUAAAAGUCAAAUUGUAUCAUUCUUUAAGAUUAUCAUGCAGAUAAGACAGCUUUAGAUUUAAAAUAAACUGGAAAGGACCUUGUUUCCCUUAAUUCUACAGGUGUGGCCAAGGCCGAGUGGCUGUGGCAGCUAACAGAACAGGUGCAAUAGUAAAUGCACAAAAAUACCUGGAGACAGAUAAUCCAUGUUCUCUGAUUAAGCGAGUCAUGCGGUUUCCAGUAAGUGGGUGAAGCAGCCAUACUUCUAACGAGCAACUGUGGUAAACACCCAGAACACAAAACCAUCGUUGUUCUGGGAUUUGCUUAUUUAAGACGAGAUACUGGAAUAUCUACCUUAGUAAGAAGGAGCUACAUGGUUUCUGACCAAGAAUAGGAGGUUUUCUCUGUCCAGAAGCACUGUUCAAAUGGCCCAUCCUACAGCAAAGGCAGUGAUACAUCCACACACGUAUAGACACCAUCUUGGACCCAUGAAUUCAAAAUUCUGGGGCAAAUGGGAGUAGUCAGGGAAUCGGGAGGGUGUAAAUAGCGGGACUAGGACAGAUGUUCUAGAAUAUUCCGGAGA